UAAGGAAUAUUGGUCAAUGGACGAAAGUCUGAACCAGCCAUCCCGCGUGCAGGAAGAAGGGGCUCUGCCUUGUAAACUGCUUUUGAAUGGGACGAAAGAGCUAUAUGCGUAUAGUGUUGACGGUACCAUUAGAAUAAGCACCGGCUAACUCCGUGCCAGCAGCCGCGGUAAUACGGAGGGUGCAAGCGUUAUCCGGAAUUACUGGGUUUAAAGGGUGCGUAGGCGGUGAUAUAAGUCAGUGGUGAAAGGCCGUAGCUUAACUAUGGGAUUGCCAUUGAUACUGUAUGACUUGAAUCAGGAUGAGGUUGGCGGAAUGUGGCAUGUAGCGGUGAAAUGCUUAGAUAUGCCAUAGAACACCGAUUGCGAAGGCAGCUGACUGGACCGGUAUUGACGCUGAGUGAGCGAAAGCCAGGGGAGCAAACGGGAUUAGAUACCCCCGUAGUCCCUGAGCGGGCUGGCAAGGCGCAU
rnacentral:rRNA from 1 species